rnacentral:rRNA from 1 species
UACGUAGGGUGCGAGCGUUGUCCGGAAUUAUUGGGCGUAAAGAGCUUGUAGGCGGUUUGUCGCGUCUGCUGUGAAAAUCCGGGGCUCAACCCCGGACUUGCAGUGGGUACGGGCAGACUAGAGUGUGGUAGGGGAGACUGGAAUUCCUGGUGUAGCGGUGAAAUGCGCAGAUAUCAGGAGGAACACCGAUGGCGAAGGCAGGUCUCUGGGCCACUACUGACGCUGAGAAGCGAAAGCUGGGGAGCGAACAGG